rnacentral:tRNA from 1 species
ACCCGGGUGGCUCAGUCGGUUAAGCGUCUGACUUUGGCUCAGGUCAUGAUCUCAUGGUUCGUGGGUUCGAGCCCCACGUUAGGUC